rnacentral:misc_RNA from 1 species
GAUGAAGAACGUAGCGAAAUGCGAUACGUAAUGUGAAUUGCAGAAUUCAGUGAAUCAUCGAAUCUUUGAACGCAUAUUGCGCUCUCUGGUAUUCCGGAGAGCAUGCUUGUUUGAGUAUCAGUAAUCACCUCAACUUCCAUAUCUUUUUUGAAAUGGGAGUUGGACUUGAGUGAUCCCAACGCUUUUCCUCACCGAAAAGGGGUGGGUUACUUGAAAUGCAGGUGCAGCUGGACUUUUCUCUGAGCUAUAAGCAUAUCUAUUUAGUCUGCCUAAAAAACAGAUUAUUACCUUUGCUGCAGCUAACAUAAAGGAGAUUAGUUCUUGUGCUGACUGAUGCAGGAUUCACAAAAACGGCUUCGGCCGACUUUGUAAACUCGAUCUCAAAUCAAGUAAGACUACCCGCUGAACUUAAGCAUAUCAAUAAGCGGAGGA